UUCGGCGAGACCAACUUGAAACAGCAGUUUUCGUACGAUCACCAAAGUUAAGCAUAGUCGAGCCGGGUCAGUACCUAUAUGAAUGACCGCUUGGGAAUAUCAGGUACUGUAGG